ensembl:Y_RNA Y_RNA Y RNA
GGCUGGUCUGAUGGUAGUGGGUUAUCAGAACUUAUUAAUAUUAGUGUCACUAAAGUUGGUAUACAACCCCCCACUGCUAAAUUUGACUGACUUUAA